rnacentral:rRNA from 1 species
GAUGAACGCUGACGGCAUGCUUAACACAUGCAAGUCAACUGUGGCGGACGGGCGAGUAACGCGUAAAGAACUUGCCUCACAGAUGGGGACCACAUUUGGAAACGAAUGCUAAUACGUGACACUGUGAGAGAGCUUUGCGUCCCCUUAGCUAGUUGGAGAGGUAACGGCUCACCAAGGCGAUGAUGGGUAGCCGGCCUGAGAGGGUGAUCGGCCACAAGGGGACUGGGACCCGGCCCUUACUCCUCCGGGAGGCAGCAGUGGGGAAUAUUGGACAAUGGACCAAAGUCUGAUCCAGCAAUUCUGUGUGGAAGAUGAAGUUUUCGGAAUGUAAAGUGCUUUCAGUUGGGAAGCAGUACCAACAGAAGAAGUGACGGCUAAAUACGUGCCAGCAGCCGCGGUAAUUC